rnacentral:lncRNA from 1 species
AGAUAAUCCAGAUGUUAUAAUAGGAAGGAAAAACAACUCCAGUUAAAUGUGACUGUGGCGACUCCCUUUUAUGUAUACAUUUAAAUGCAUAGUUGCAGAGGACACAUCCCUCCCCUUCUGUCUCCCUAACUUGAACUGUAGACCGUCCUCACUGGGAAGAGUAAGGCCCCACAUUUUGUGCAAUAGCAAGCUACUGCCCACUUCUGCAUGUCUGCUACGAGAUCAGAAAGUCAGUUUCACUAAGGUUGUCUUUUAGCUGAAUACUUAGAGUAAAACCAAUCAAAUCCAUUGUACAUACCUGACCAUAUGUCCCAGAUAAAAAGGAAAGACUUGCGUGAUGUUUUUUUCCUUCUGAGUGCCCUGAGGAGAUCCUUUUGCUUCAGACUAUUUCUAAUUUUUCUUUGUUUAUAGGUUCAGAAUUUUUUCCAUGAUUGUUUUCCCCCAAACAAGUGCAUUUUUAAUUACUUUAAAUGCAGGGGUGAUAGAGGAAAUGCUAUUCGAACCAUAGACAUCUUUAAUCUGUGAAGCUGAAAUUUUUCAGCAAAGGAAAUUGCAUGGUCAAGUUCAGAAACUGGCCAUUAAUUUCCCCCUUCCGCUCCACAGUUCAUAGCUACUCUUGUUGCAAACAUGUAGUGAUAAGGAGAACUAACGUAUCAAGGGGCUGAGAGGGUAACGUUCCCCUCCUCCUCCAUGUUUUUAUUUUGGUGUCUGUUUUGUUUCUAGCACUGUAUUUAGUACUGUAGUUGAAUGAGGUAUGAUGUCUCCCUUCAAGGAACUCAGAAUGGAACAGAAGCAUGAGCAAAAGAUUGUAUUACAGAGGUAUGAAUAAAAUGCCAUGGGGAACACAGAGAAAGGUUCACCCGGGAGAGAUGGCCUAGCCACUUCCUUAGUGACUGUUUGGUAUAUGUAGGUCCCCCUGCCAUUACUCUUUCAGCCUUCUGCAAUCUAGUUCUACUUAGUCACACACUUCUCUAAGACCACUCAUACGUAAACACUACGUAGAGGCCCCUUUUUGCCUCAUUUUACAUUGUUUAGUUAUCAUUUUGAAACUUUUCUUCACAUAUGUAACAGUGCCGGAGUUUUUCUGCUUCUCUGUGUUUGUUCAGUAACUCUUCUUUAGGAUACACCUAAAGAUGAGAAGCUUCAUACCCAGUACUCCUCUUCAUUCACUCAUAUGUUUUUGGGAUCAGUCCCUUCUGCUGGCUGUGCAUUGGUCUAAUGGAACAGAAUAGAGUCCAGAAAUAACCCAACAUGUAUGUGGACAACUGGUUUUUGACAGAGGUGCAAAGGUCUUGAAAAAAUGAUGCUGGAAUAAUUGGGCAUCAGAUGCAAAAUUAAAAACAAAUUGAUCCAUAUCUUAACACUGGCAAAGAUUAAAGUCCAAAUGGAUUAUAGUUCCCCAAAACUGUAUAAUUUCUAGAAGACAACAAGGAAAACGUGUUCAGCCUUGGGUUAGGAAAAGAUUUCUUAAAUCCAACACCAAAAGCACAAUCCAUGAAGGAAAAAUCGAUAAAUUGUACUUUAUCAAAAUUGAGAACUUCUCUUUGAAAGGUACCAUAAGGAGAACAAAAAGACAAGCUGUAGAGUGGCAGAAAAAUAUUUGCAAAACAUUUCUGAUAAAUGAGUUGCAUCUAGAUUACAUAAAGAAGUCUCAAAACUGAACAAGUAAACCCAUUGUUUACUUAAUCGCUGUUUCUCCUGAGCUUGCUGCCUCUGCCCCUGCUCUCUCUCCUUUUCCAUUUGUUUUCAACAUUGAAUCCAGAAUGUUCUUCUUGAGAUCCAAGUCAGAUCACACCAACCCUCAGAACUCUCCAAUAGACGACCAUGGCACUCAAAAGUCCACAAUAGCCUUCAAUGCUGGGCAAAACAUGAAGCACCCCUUUUCUCCCUUCUCUGACCCCAUCACCUCUGUGUUCACCCUGCUCCUGCCGUCCUCCCUGCCUCCAAAACAGGUCAGGCCUUCGUGCCUUUGCACUUACUAUUUGCAAUACCCAAAUGUUCUUCAGGCUCUUUAGCCUCUUCAUUUCUUUCCUGAAGUGUCAUUCUCACUGAGGCUUAUCUAAAGCUGCAGCUACUGGGGCAUUCCUGUCUCAUCUCCCUGCUGUAUUUUGUACUCCCGGCUCUCUUUUGUACUUUUAAACAUACUAUAUGGUUUACCUUUGUUGUUUAUAUUUGCAUGUUGUUUCCCACUUGAAUGUAAGCUCCAAAGAUUUUAUUUUUUUAAACUGAAUUAUUACUGUAUUCCCAGAACAAUUCCCUGGCAAAUAUUUGGUACUCAAUAGUAAUGCUAAGUUAGUAAAUAAAUGAUGAAUUUAGAAUCAAAAUAAUGUGUCUAUGGCCAAAAUAAAACCUGAAAUCCCUGUCCUAUUUCCCAGAGGUAACUGCUGUUAAUAGUUUAGUUGUGUGCUUCCAGACAUACCUUCACAGAAUCAUUUAUCACAAUAAAGGUGUCAUACUAUGCAGAUUGUUUGACAAGAUGCUUUUUUUCACUUUACACGGGCAUCUUUUCAUACCAUUGUGUGGCCAGGCCAUGAUUUGUUUUCCAAAAGACAUUUACCCAAUUUAUAUGGUGAAGAUUUUUGUCCAUAUUACUUUUUAUAGUAUUUCUGUAGGGUAAGUUCCCAGAAGUAAUAUUGCACGAUCAUCGAAAAAUUUUAGUGUUACAUUACUGCCCCAUAAAGGUACUAAUUAACAUCCCUCUCAACAACAUAGAAGAUUCCUUUUUUUUUUUUUCUUUUU